GGGGAUGAAAUGGUUUCGACAGGGAAGGCUGGGCUGGGACUGCAAGCCGAGGCGCCCGUGCCGCGUUAAAAAUGGGCAAACAAUCAAGUGCCAAACAGCGCACUCAACCAGCUUUCGCGCUCGCCGCGUAAACGGCAAACGCGAUAGCAUGACCGCUUGACGGUCACGUCCGCCCUUUCCCUCCCCCGGGGGAGAGACCGGCGGGCGACAGAAAACCGGGGGUGCCCUCCCACGAGACGCCGAUACGUGGGAUCAGAGGCGGGGAGUUCACGCGCCCUGCAUCGGCUGGCCAGGGCCGCAGCCUGUUGAUCGGCGGCUGCUCUGGCGAGAACCAAAUGGUCAACUAAGCUUGUAGAUGUUCCUGUUCGAGUUCUCUGGACGCGGGUUCGAUUCCCGCCAUCUCCACCU
rnacentral:tmRNA from 1 species